CAGUCGCCGCGGGAAUACGGAGGGUGCAAGCGUUAUCCGGAUUUAUUGGGUUUAAAGGGUCCGUAGGCGGACUUAUAAGUCAGUGGUGAAAGCCUGUCGCUUAACGAUAGAACUGCCAUUGAUACUGUAAGUCUUGAGUAUAUUUGAGGUAGCUGGAAUAAGUAGUGUAGCGGUGAAAUGCAUAGAUAUUACUUAGAACACCAAUUGCGAAGGCAGGUUACCAAGAUAUAACUGACGCUGAGGGACGAAAGCGUGGGUAGCGAACAGGAUUAGAUACCCCGGUAGUCCCUGUCUCUUAUAA
rnacentral:rRNA from 1 species